rnacentral:lncRNA from 1 species
CUACUUAGUUUAAGCUCAGUUCAAAGACUGGGUGAUUUUUGGCCAAAUUCUCACCAUUGUGACAGUAAGUUUUCUACUUUCUCUUUUAGUAACACCCAUGGAUGGUAAGAACAAAGAAGAACCUUCAUUUCUAGGACCCAGCCUACUUUCCUCUCCUCUUGGAAACUGCCACUAACAUACUGUCUCUGAAUGUCCUGUUUCUUCCAAUCUGCUAGAAUGGGGUAUGUCUUCUCCACCUCCUUCUUUCAUUUCUGCCCUGAAAGUAUGAGAUACCU